CUUUAGUAAUACUUUUAUUGUGGUUAUUUAUUCCAUUGGAUUAGUUUUCUUUGAUGCGUUUGAGUGAUUAUGCUGCGAAUCAAUCUAAAGAUCAAUCAUCACCGGUGUUUCCUACGGUUGCGAGAAAUUUACUGUGGAGCUCACCGCCAGUUUAUUGCGAACCGUGCUUGAGUUAACAACGUCUUUUACUAUUUGGUAAGUGAAUGGAACGCGGACUAAGCAACCGACGGGAAAAAGUGAAGAGACCACCACAAACAGUGUUAGUGACAAAAAACGGAGAGAUUGGAGCAAAAUAACAAGAAAAAAAAAACCAUCAACAACUUCGAAACCGGCAGUUUUGUUUGUUUCCCUAGAAACAAGUGUUUGGUUCUUUUUCUUGUACAGAUGACUUUAGAAAACAAAACUAAAUAGAUCAUACCAGCAAGAGAAAUGUUUUGAUGAAAAAAAUAUAAUAGGAAAAAUUGGGGCUACCGACAAUAUUGCUCUUCAACAAUUUGAUGCAAAGAAGUGAUAAAAAGAAAAUUUCAAUUUGCUGAAUUCCAUGAUUAUACUUAU